rnacentral:rRNA from 1 species
AUUGAACGCUGGCGGCAGGCCUAACACAUGCAAGUCGAGCGGAUGAGAGGAGCUUGCUUCUCGAUUCAGCGGCGGACGGGUGAGUAAUGCCUAGGAAUCUGCCUGGUAGUGGGGGACAACGUUUCGAAAGGAACGCUAAUACCGCAUACGCCCUACGGGAGAAAGCAGGGGACCUUCGGGCCUUGCGCUAUCAGAUGAGCCUAGGUCGGAUUAGCUAGUUGGUGAGGUAAUGGCUCACCAAGGCGACGAUCCGUAACUGGUCUGAGAGGAUGAUCAGUCACACUGGAACUGAGAAACGGUCCAGACUCCUACGGGAGGCAGCAGUGGGGAAUAUUGGACAAUGGGCGUAAGCCUGAUCCAGCCAUGCCGCGUGUGUGAAGAAGGUCUUCGGAUUGUAAAGCACUUUAAGUUGGGAGGAAGGGUUGUAGAUUAAUACUCUGCAAUUUUGACGUUACCGACAGAGUAAGCACCGGCUAACUCUGUGCCAGCAGCCGCCGUAAAAC